UACAGAGGGUGCAAGCGUUAAUCGGAAUUACUGGGCGUAAAGCGUGCGUAGACGGUUAUGUAAGUCAGGUGUGAAAGCCCCGGGCUCAACCUGGGAAUUGCAUUUGAGACUGCAUAGCUAGGGUGCGGAAGAGGGAAGCGGAAUUUCCGGUGUAGCGGUGAAAUGCGUAGAUAUCGGAAGGAACAUCAGUGGCGAAAGCGGCUUCCUGGUCCAGCACCGACGUUCAGGCACGAAAGCGUGGGGAACAAACAGG
rnacentral:rRNA from 1 species